AUAAAAUUAGCAUAUGGAAAAUUUAAUAUCAUCAAUUGCUGGAAGUGAAGUAGAUUUUGAGUCAGAUGAUGAUUAUUUGUAUAACAGCAAUCACAACUCGGAGACAGAGGAGGACAAUAUAGAUAUUAUGUGUGUGAAGAUAGCUAUAAAUAUUGUCACAGUAAAGAUGGAAAAACUAAAUGUAAUAUGGAAUGCCCUACACAAAAAAGGACAAGAUCCCAUAAUAUAAUAUUAUGUUUGCCAGGGGUUAAAUCUCAUGCAAAAAAUGCAAAAUCACCAUAGAAAGCCUCAAAUUAUUCAUUUCACCUAAUAUUACAGAUUUAGUUUUAAAAUAUACAAAUCAAAAGAUUGAGUCCAUUGAAAAAGAUGACUCUGUUUAUCAUGCCAAAAUGGAUGAAAAUGAAUUGAAUGCCUUAGUUGGUUUACUAAUGAUAGCCGGAGUUUAUAAAUCCAGUCAUCAAAAUAUAAGAGAUUUAUGGAAUAAGGAUGGAUUUGGUGUUUAUUUAGAUAUACUAUGAAUAUAAAUAGAUUCCAAUUUCUAUUGAAAGUGCUUAGAUUUGAUGAUAUGAAUACAAGAAAUACAAGGAAAGCACUUGAUCAUAUUAGAGAAAUUUUUGAUAUUUUUAAUGAUAAUUGCAAUAAUUCUUAUUCUGCUGGACAAUAUGUUACUAUUGAUGAAAUGCUUCCUGCAUUCAAAGGAAAAUGUCCAUUUAGGCAAUAUAUGCCAAAUAAACCAUCAAAAUAUGGUCUGAAAAUAUAUGCUCUAGUUGAUUCUAGAACUUUUUAUACAUUAAAAACAGAAUUAUAUACUGGCAAUCAGCCAGAUGGUCCAUAUAAAUUGUCAAACAAGCCAUUUGAUGUAGUUGAAAGACUAAUUCAACCAAUUUCAAAAAGUAAGAAAUAUUACAAUGGACAAUUGGUUUACUAGCUAUGAAUUAGCUAAUUAUUUAUCUUCACAUUCCCUAACAAUAGUAGGGACUAUUAAAAAAAAAUAAAAAGCAGUUACCUGCAUUAUUUUUUAAUAAAAAAAGAGAAAUAUAUUCAAGUUUAUUUGGAUUCAAAGAAAAUACUACUAUUGUUUCAUAUAUACCAAAAUGGUAUAAGAAUGUAGUGUUGCUUUCAACACUACAUUAUGAUAAUAAAAUUGAUGUAACAACUGGUGAAUUGUUAAAACCAGAAAUUAUAACUAUGAUUUAACCAAAGCAGGAGUUGAUGUAGUGGAUCAACUUUGCUCAAUAUAUUCCAUAUCUAGGAGAUCAAAUAGAUGGCCACUUACCAUUUUUUAUACUAUGAUAAAUAUUUCAAUAAUAAAUGCCCUAAUAGUUUAUAAAGCCAAUAAUUUGUUGAAUAUAAAAAGGUCUAAAUUUAUAAAAUUAUUAGCUAUGGAACUGAUAACUCCAUUUAUGACCAGUAGAUAUGAGAACCCUCGUACUAUUACGUAACAACAUAGGGGACGUUCUCAGCAUAAUUGAUGAAAAACAUAUUCCAAUAAAUAAAAAGGGAAGAUGUUAUGAGUGUCCAAGGGUGAAAGAUAAAAAAAACAACAAUAAUUUGCUUAAAUUGUCAAUUUGCCGCGAAUGUUAUCUCAA